GAGAAGGGAAGGAAGCCCAUGAGAGGACACUGAAGAAGGAGUGAGCAGACAAUAAGAAGCCCACAGAAGACAGAGAAGGAACAACUAGAGGGAGAAGCCAAGGCAGUUUCUCCACAGACACUACCCAAAGCAGUGCUUCACUACAGUGGCAGACAGACCUGAAAAUUUUCAUCUGAAGCAGCAGAGUGAACUGCAGAGGCAGGUCACCAACCAGUGUGGAGGCUAAAAGCGGGCCUCUUUGGGGAUUCCAGGAACAAAGAUCACCACAACUGGCUCCCCUUCAACUAUGUUAGAUGGCAACUUGCCUUCAGUAUGGUGAAACACAUCAGUUAAGACCGGGGUUGUGCAUGGCAGGACUUUCUACAAGGACACCCAGUCUCCUUAAUAAACAUGAGAUGCUCUCUUUCCAGAAUUUCUCUUGCCUGACACAGCAUAGGAAGAUGCUGAACGGCCACACAGUGAUCCAUUG
rnacentral:lncRNA from 1 species